GCUAAAAGGUUAAAAAGAAUUACUGUUUCAUUGAAUUUGGAUUUGAACUUUGAGGUCUCUUUGAAUUUCUGGAGCAGUCUUCUUAUUUACAUAGAUUUAAAAUGGUUUGAGGUUAAUUCUUGAAAAGUUCUGGGUCAAGCUGUGUCGAAAUCAUUGUUUCAUUGGCUUCAUAUUUUGAGAAUUCAAUCUCCUGAACCUGGGAUUUCGUUGUUGCUGUUACUGCUGCAUUCCUCACUUUUUCCUUUGGUUUUUUUAUCCAGGUAUGCAUAUUUGAAACUCACACAAUGUGAAGCUCAAUUGAAAACUGAGAAAUGAAAACAUGGGCUCUGAUGUUUAGAUGCUAGGCUUUAGUCAAAAGUUAUUUUGUAUUUCCCAUUCCAUGUAUCUUAUCCUUCGUAAAUGACAUAUGUUCAGUUAAUCUGAUUUGAUUUUGCCAAGAUGGUUUAAUUCUGAACUUGUUAAAUAUGGUAUUAGAAGGGUAAUAUUUGGAUCUUAUUGCUCAUAUUGUAAUUAAUUGAUAAUGGACUGUCCUGAAUUUAUUUUGUUUGGUUAGUUUCUUGUUCUUUAUAAAACAGUUUUGUACAUGGCUUGCUAAGUGCUAUUUAGAGCUCUGGGUCCGUUAGUAAUUGAGUUGUGUUGAUAUGAAAUGAUAUGAGCUUUUGACUGGUUUAGCUGGUAAUCUAUGUUGGUGUGGACUCAAAUUCAUAUAAAAUUUUCUGAUUCUGGGCCUGAACUUUAUAAGGGUUUUUGAAUAUGAAUUGAUCUUAGCUUUCAUACAUCGCUUGUUCAGUUUUACUUAUGUGUAAAUAGAUCCUGGGUUACUGAUUUUUAGUAACAUGUUAAUUUGGUUGCCUAUUUCCACACAUGGUUCUAGAAAAGUUUAAGGCUAUGUUCACGACUAUUGACUAUUGAUGCCUAUUCGUUUUGAUUAAGUUCUAAAAAUGAAAUGCAAGGUGGUGACUUGUGGACUCAAACUAGGGACCUGAAUUAAGUUUGUCUUUCGUUUUGUUUCUAUUUGGGCUCAUUUUUGGGCCCAAGCUUGAUAGCUUCUUUGAACAUGAUUUAGGCUGCAAUUUCGACCCAUGAAAUGCCCAGCUAGUCCAAUUUGGACUUUACCUGGAGGGCCCGUUUGUGGCUCUUGGUUGUUAGAUGAAUGGCCCUUAGGAACCCAUAACCACAUUUAACAUUAACUCAUUUAGUCCACUAAUAGGGUUGAGGGUGAGCCACACUAGAUAAUAUGAAAUAGUUUAUGGCCCUCAAAAGUUUAGUUUAAACAUUAUUUGAAAUUAGAAUCGAGCCGCACCAUUUAGCAAACUUUCAUGGCCCUCACAAAUCUGAAAAUGUGUAACUGCUUUAGACACGAUAGUUAAAAUCUGCUUUCCUAAACUCGGGCGCGUAUUUAUGUGACCCAACUCCAAAUCUCAACAAUGUUAGAUAAAAUAUGUCGAGAGCCGAGGGUGUAUUUAUGUGACGUGGUUCAAGACGUAUUUUAAAUGACAUUGCAAUUUUCCUUUAAAAUAAUUAAAUGAAGCGGUUAGAGUUAAAAUUGCACAUAGGUUCAAAAUAUAUUAAAAUCGGAUAACUAAGCCGGAUAUAACAGUUGAGCGGCCGUGAUAGAACCAUGGAAUUCGGGAAUGCCUAAUACCUUCUCCCGGGUUAACAUGAUUUCUUACCUAGAUUUCUGGCUCGCAGACUGUAUCACAGAGUCAAACCUUCCUCGAUUCGGGAUUUUAAAUCAGUGACUUAGGACACCAUUAAUUAUCCCAAGUGGCGACUCUGAAAUCUUUAAAUAAAUAAAUCCCGUUUCGAUUGUCCUUUAAUUGGAAAAACUCCUUUAUCUACGCCCUUCGCAGGGUGUAGUGUAAAAAAUAGGUGUAACAGUAAUCACACCUUAGCUAGACAUACUUUGAUCGAACCAAACACCCUCUUUUUGUUCUACUGCAAACAAACAUUGUAGCUAUUUAAGACCUGAUGUGUAAUAAGUUAGAGAAGAAAGAGGGAACAACACUGGUGAGGCAUUGUAUCAAAAGAGAAUAGUAAUAUAGGAACUAAGCUAUCACGUCAUUUCCAUUGUACUCGAAGAAACUCAUUCACUAAAGAGAACUCCUUUACAACCGAAGGGGACUCGACUAGGAUUCACAUUGAAUUCGAACCAGUAUAAAAAUUCUGGUGUCUUUAAUUUCUGCAUUUAAUUUCAGCAUCUUAUAUUCUGUUAUUACAACUGUUGUUUAGUACGUCGGAUAAUUGAAAAAUCAGUCAACUAACAGAGAUUAAGCUUAAAAAUAAACAAUUCACCCUCUCUCUUGUACUUUCACUUGGUAUCAGAGCAAAUCUCACAUUUUUCUUUUUCUUAACAGCUCGUGAGAAAAGAUCAUGGCAAAUCAAGUAUCAUAGGAUCUCUCUUUCAGGAAGGAACUUCACAAGUUAGGCCCCCAUAUUUCAAUAAGGCUGUAUGGAG
rnacentral:lncRNA from 1 species